rnacentral:rRNA from 1 species
GACAGAGGUGCCGAGCGUUAGGCGGAAUCACUGGGCUUAAAGCGUGUGUAGGCGGGCGGGCAAGUACCUUGUGAAAUCCCACGGCUCAACCGUGGAACGGCUGGGUAUACUGCCUGUCUUGAGCCAACUAGGGGCGAGCGGAACAGACGGUGGAGCGGUGAAAUGCGUAGAUAUCGUCUGGAACGCCGAGGGUGAAAACAGCUCGCUGGGGCUGUGCUGACGCUGAGACACGAAAGCCAGGGGAGCGAACGGG